CGAGGGGGCCGCAGUGAAAAGGCCCAAGCGACUGUUUAGCAAAAACACAGGUCUGUGCGAAGCCGUAAGGCGAAGUAUACGGGCUGACGCCUGCCCGGUGCUGGAAGGUUAAGGGGAGCGGUUAGGAGCAAUCCGAAGCUGUGAACCGAAGCCCCAGUAAACGGCGGCCGUAACUAUAACGGUCCUAAGGUAGCGAAAUUCCUUGUCAGGUAAAUUCUGACCCGCACGAAUGGCGUAACGACUUGGGCGCUGUCUCAACGAGAGAUCCGGUGAAAUUUUAAUACCUGUGAAGAUGCAGGUUACCCGCGACAAGACGGAAAGACCCCAUGGAGCUUUACUGCAGCUUGAUAUUGGAUUUGGGUACGAUCUGUACAGGAUAGGUGGGAGCCUAAGAAGCCUGAGCGCCAGCUUAGGUGGAGGCGCCGUUGGGAUACCACCCUGAUCGUAUCUAGGUUCUAACCUGGUACCGUGAUCCGGUGCGGGGACAGUGUCAGG
rnacentral:rRNA from 1 species